AGAACGAACGCUGGCGGCAGGCUUAACACAUGCAAGUCGAACGCGUGUAGCAAUACACGAGUGGCGCACGGGUGAGUAACGCGUGGAUAUCUGCCUUUUGGUUCGGAAUAACCCCGGGAAACUGGGGCUAAUACCGGAUGGUUCCUUCGGGAUAAAGAUUUAUCGCCAAAAGAUGAGUCCGCGUACGAUUAGCUAGUUGGUGAGGUAAUGGCUCACCAAGGCGACGAUCGUUAGCUGGUCUGAGAGGACGAUCAGCCACACUGGGACUGAGACACGGCCCAGACUCCUACGGGAGGCAGCAGUGGGGGAAUAUUGGACAAUGGGGGCAACCCUAAUCCAGCCAUGCCGCGUGAGUGAUGAAGGCCUUCGGGUUGUAAAGCUCUUUUGGCGG
rnacentral:rRNA from 1 species